UUAAAUUUUUAUAGCGGCGAUAGAAGCCGAGUUACAACCUGAUGAAGGUGAGGGUUUAUUUAAAUAACCCUUUAAUCGAAACUUUAUUAUCAAAUAACGUAAAUAAUACGAGGUUUUUCCAGAAAUUCUCACAACAUUUUUAAAAGUAUUUGAUAAGGUCUUUAAAAGAAGCUAAGCUAUAUGUUAUUCGGAUGGAAAACACCAGAGUUAUUAACACAAAAACACAAUUAUGCCAUUAAAAAAAUAAAAAAAGGAGGAAUUAAAUUAUCGGUUUCUCCACAAAAAUGAAAAUUAUUCCUAUUCCACAUAUAAUUAGGUUUAUUUAUGUAUCAACAAUGUGUCUUAAAAUUGUAUCCAGUUUAAAAGUCUAGAUUUGAAAUAAACUGAAUUUGUGAGUAUUUUGCUGCUCCGAAAUAGUUGAAAUUUGAGAUAUUAAUACGCUCCGAAAAAAUUGACAGGAAAAGGUACACGGUUCUUCUACUAUAACUUCUUAAAUUUUAAAAAUAUUUCAUUGAUCGAAAAAUUUAAUUUAUUAUACUGAAUUAUGAGUAAGUACUAUAAGAUCUGGAAAGUUGAACUUUUUUGAAGCAUUUAGUGUUUAUGAACAGAACUUUUUACACUAUGUUUAAAGUUAAAAUGUCAAAAUAUCAAUUAGAUUGUAUCGUAGAGAAAUAAAUAAAUAUGUGUAAUAGGGACCUUAUUCUCCUCCAUGUCUAACAGCUUCCUGUUUUCAGAAUAGACGAGAUCCAUUUUUUUUUCGAAGUCAAAAUUGAAAUAUCCAAAUAAACCUCGUCAAAAGACUUCGAUCCGGAAACUUGUGUUUCAGGAAAGGAAUUCUACUAUGAAUUCGUGUUUCACAUGGAAAAUAAGGUUUGUUAUAUUUCGAAAGUUUCUUCCGAUGUGGCCAAAGUUUCUGGUGAUAUCCCAUCUCUAGAAAACAAGGUUUCUAUUAACAUCUCUGAGGUCACCUCUGACUUCGACAUUAAAAUAUUGUCAUUGUUAUAAAGUUCCUGUAGAUAUUUUGUCUUUCAAAAAAAGAUGAAAUAGGUAGAAAAGUUAAUAGAGGAAACAGGGACAAUAGACAAAGGAAUUUAACCCAUUUCAGCAGAGACAAAA
rnacentral:lncRNA from 1 species